rfam:Triticum urartu cultivar G1812 contig463270, whole genome shotgun sequence.
GAAGUACUCCCUCCGUUCCAAAUUACUCGUCGCAGAAAUGGAUGUAUCUAGAACUAAAAUACAUUUAGAUACAUCCAUUUCUGCGACGAGUAAUUCGGAACGGAGGGAGUAGAUA